GACAGAGGGUGCAAACGUUGUUCGGAAUUACUGGGCGUAAAGCGCGUGUAGGCGGCUAAGUAAGUCGGGCGUGAAAUCCCACGGCUCAACCGUGGAAGUGCACUCGAAACUGCAUAGCUAGAGUCCUGGAGAGGAAGGUGGAAUGCUUGGUGUAGAGGUGAAAUUCGUAGAUAUCAAGCGGAGCACCGGUGGCGAAGGCGGCCUUCUGGACAGUGACUGACGCUGAGACGCGAAAGCGUGGGGAGCAAACAGG
rnacentral:rRNA from 1 species